GGUCUGAUGGCAUAGUGGUAACACGCUCCAUCUGCAUAAACUGGCGGGAAACUGAUAAAUGGAGAGAUCGGAGUUCAAUUCUCUGCUGAGCCA